CCAGGCUGAAGACUUUGCCGGAUUAGCUGAGAGGUGGUGCAUGGCCGUCGUCAGUUCGUACUGUGAAGCAUCCUGUUAAGUCAGGCAACGAGCGAGACCCACGCCCACAGUUGCCAGCGUACUCUCUGGAGUGACGGGUACACUGUGGGGACCGCCGCUGCUAAAGCGGAGGAAGGAAUGGGCAACGGUAGGUCAGUAUGCCCCGAAUAUCCCGGGCUACACGCGAGCUACAAUGGUUGGUACAAUGGGUAUCUACCCCGAAAGGGGACGGGAAUCUCCUAAAACCAAUCUUAGUUCGGAUUGAGGGCUGCAACUCGCCCUCAUGAAGCUGGAAUCCGUAGUAAUCGCGUUUCAACAGAACGCGGUGAAUACGUCCCUGCUCCUU
rnacentral:rRNA from 1 species